GAUUUUUUUAUCAUAUUUUUUUUAUCACAUAAUUUUGAAGUAAGUAUUAUUCUGCACAGUUUGUAAAAAUCCCAAGGUCAUUAUCAUAUCACAACAGGGAGUAAAUUGAUAAUGAAUUUAUGUAAAUAAAAGCACAUGGUAAUUAAUCUAAAUAUAUAAGCAUUUGGGAGGGGCUAAUAUGUCAAUCAUCUGUUGAUACCAGUGUCCAGCUGUUAAUCCCUGACCACAAGAUAAAUAUCGUAGUCUUAUCUCAUUGUUUUGCAACAAAA
rnacentral:lncRNA from 1 species